rnacentral:sRNA from 1 species
GCGCAGGGUCCGCGGCUGCAAAGUGUGAAUUACGCCGGGCUCGCGCCGGCGGCGGAGUGAAGUCAGGCUUCGGGGGAGGGGAGGGGCAGGACUCCGGCGGCGGCGGCGGCGGCGGCCCGAGCUGGUCGCUGCUCACGAGUCCCGCGCGCCCUCGGUCUGGCCGCUGGCUCCAGCUGUCUUUUCUUGCACCACAUUGCUCCGUCCGUGCUCCGCUCGAACUCUGCAGUCCGGGCCGGUCCCCCAGCACGUCCUCAGCCGCCGAGGAGCCAUCAGCUUCAGCUCAAGCUCCGCGCUCUUCGGCUGCCCCAAUCCCCGGCAGCUCUCUCAGAGGCGUGGAGCUAUUUCCUAUGACAGUUCUGAUCAGACUGCAUUAUAUAUUCGUAUGCUAGCAUGAAGGAAUGGCCACAGGACAGGUGACUAGUCAUUGUGGGAUGGAAUUAUAGUCGAUGAAGUGAGCCUUGGAGGAAGUCAUGGUCCUACUGAGAGAAACAGAGAGAUGUACGUGUAAGGAGCCGAGCAGGAUUUGAAUCAGAAAGAAGAGGUUCUCACCCAUAUAUUGAUUUUCGUAUUUUCCACUCUCAAUCUGAAAUUGAAGUGUCUGUCUCUGCAAGGAAUAUCAGAAGGCUACUAAGUUUCCAGCGAUAUCUUAGAUCUUCACGCUUUUUUCGUGGUACUG